UUUUUUCCUCCCUUCCUCCCCUCUGCCUCCCUCCACCUCCCCCUUUUCUUUUUUGCUGAAUCUUAUUGAUCCAGAAGGUGGCUAAUUAGCCCUUCCCGUCGUGCCUGGGUAAUGAAGCACAUGCGCACUGAAUUAAUCACAGCCAUUUUUUGCAGGAAACUAAUUAGCAGAAUAAAGAUCCAAAGACUUUUUUUUCUUUUCACUCAUCAGCUCCCACUUCCAGCGCGUCCCCUCCGACCGCUGCAGCCGCCGCCGCCGCCGCCUCCUCCUCCUCCUCCUCCCGGCCGCAGCCGCCGCCGCCACCGCCUGCUUUGCAUCCCAAUUACAGCCUAGAGCCGCUGCCGC
rnacentral:lncRNA from 1 species